rnacentral:rRNA from 1 species
CAMWAWYCCUGAWGGACACCCGCGUGAGUGAAGAAGGGUUUCGGCUCGUAAAGCUCUGUUGUUAGAGAAGAACGUGCGUGAGAGCAACUGUUCACGCAGUGACGGUAUCUAACCAGAAAGUCACGGCUAACUACGUGCCAGCAGCCGCGGUAAUACGUAGGUGGCAAGCGUUAUCCGGAUUUAUUGGGCGUAAAGCGAGCGCAGGCGGUUUGAUAAGUCUGAUGUGAAAGCCUUUGGCUUAACCAAAGAAGUGCAUCGGAAACUGUCAGACUUGAGUGCAGAAGAGGACAGUGGAACUCCAUGUGUAGCGGUGAAAU